UGGGCUAUCAAGAAAAUUGGUUUUUCUGGAAUACAAAUUCCUUGAGUUAAGAGAGUUCAAAUCAUCAUUAAAGUUCAAGCACACUCUCUUUUUAACCAAUCUCACCCAUUCCCAAAUUUUCCCUUUUUCAUUUUACAUUGAGUUCUUUUUACAUGCAUAAACUCUUUUCAUUUUUCUUUUUCAUUCUUUGGAACUCAAUGCUUUUCUUUUUCUUUUUCC
rnacentral:lncRNA from 1 species